GGGAUAGGCUCGGAGCGCAGCUGGCCGCGAGCCAGCCCGGCCGUCCCGCUCGCCCUGCGGCACGCUUUGCGCUGAGGGCGAUAGAGUGCGAGGAGGUAAAGAUCAAAGCUUUCCCAACAGAGUCGCAAGUUGAAAAUGGACUAAAAAUGGCGACGAGAAAUUUGCUGUAAAGAAUCAGCUGUAAAGUGAGUUUUCCCACUCGGCAGUUCCAGCUCCGAUGUCAGUCGAUGCUUUCUAAUACAGCACCCAUUUUAUGUAAAACUCUGCUUUUUCUGUUAUUCGUGGAGGACUCCUGUGAUGCUUCCAUCCACCCAAUAACGUGCCUCUGUAAAGGAAAGACUUCUGCUUGUUCAAUGCUUUGUUUUAUUCACCGAAGUUACAAUGAUUGUAUACUUUGUAGAGAAAAAGCAGUGAAAUUUAAAGCGAGUAUGCAGAUCCCAGCAUUGUUGUUGGAAGUGAUUAAUGGCUAGUAAAAAUUUAAGGUGAAUACCUCUUUAUUUUUGCUAAUGAAGCUGACGUGCCACGCAGUGCUGCAUGGUAACAUUUCCGUGAGGGAUCCCUUAAACUUUUGAAACGCUUCACACGUGGGAAGGGUAAUUUUCAUUCACUCGUGCAUUCAUUCUACUCAAAAAACAGCUAAAAAAAUGUGGGUACGUAUCACCCUGUUGUAUGUUUGUCAUACCCAAACUCGCCUAGCUGUUAGACCCUGUAGGUUUCUUUUAAGAGAAUUGGCUUUUCUCCUCGUGUUGAGAUUAACAAUGAAAUUAUUCAGUCUUACCCCCUGAAUUAUAUUCCUCUCUAAUUAUUUUAAUCUCUUAUAUAUCACUAUAAGAAGGACAGGCUUCUUUUUUCAAACAGAAAAUUGGCCUUCUGUGUCGUGUCAGCGCUUAUUAAAUACUACAAUCAUAAGAACACAUAUGCUACAAGAUUUUACGUUCUGAUUCCGUAGCUGUUACGGGCUUAGCGGCUGCAGUAUUUAUUUAGUGGUAAUGCAUUGCUUUUUCCUAUUUUGCAUUUCAAAGCUCUCCCUUAAACGACUGUUUUACAGAACUAUCCAGAGGUUAUCUAAAUUUCCCCAUCAAAUAUUACGCAGCACCAUAAGCUGGGAGUCGUGGAGUUUCUUUCCUUUCAUUUACACUCUCUUUAUAGAAAGAACUGAUCAGAAAAGCCACAAAAAAUACAACAAAUCCUUUAGGAAACGGUUCGGUGUAUUUGGUUUGACUGAAUUUGGACCAUAGCAAAGUUUCAAGCUGGUGUUAAACGCUCUCAGAGUACAACGUUUUUAUUUGAACGCUAUGCAGUGUGCUUCUCAUGGAUAUAUUCUCGGUUCCUCGGCGCGGCUUUAAUCACGUUGUUGCAAAGCAAUUAAUUUUUUGGUUGCUGUAGUGAUGCAUUUUUAUAAAGCCAGAAAUUGGGUUUCAGAAUCACCAACGUCAAAAAAGCCAAAGCCCCAAACCCGGCGCUGCCGGGAGCCGCACGCGUUGCUGUUCAAAGAGGAAGCUGCAGGAAAACCGUCUCAAUUAAUUAAUAAAGAAAUAGGAAAGCAAAAGCAAUGAUAAAAAUGUACGACUGUUUGUUGCAAUACAAGCGUUACUGUACGCGUACAUUCGUCCAGCAAAUUAAAAUACACUUAAUAUGUUUUCCUUUCAAAAGGAUAUUUGUUUUAAUUUACCUGUCAGGGAAAUAAAGGACAGAUUUGCCGCUGUACCGUGAUUUUUUUCUCCUUGUCAGGGUUAACAGAAUCAUUGGGAAUGCUUUUUAAAUUAGAUGUCAUUUUCUUGACACGAACGAGGAAGGGCCAGGAGGGUGUAUCUACCUUCAGAUCAUUUGCCUUUUUUAGCAGUGGGGUCUGUUGGGUGCUUUAUUUCCUCACGCAGUAAUUGCUCACACCUGCAAUUUUCAGCGUACUUUUUUACAAGCCUUAAAAGUAAUAAAAAUAGCGUUGUGUGUUUUCUCCUACAAAUAGUUCCGAGUUCAGACGUGUGUUCUUCCCCGCUAAGAUGGGGCGGUUUUGUGCGGGGCGGCUUUUUUUUGGGAGCACUGCCUGCAUUAUUUUACGCAAACUGAAACAUUCCACAUCCUGACACCCUCCCCCCGUUUGUUUUUUUGUUCCGUGUGUGCAAAACGUCUAACCUCGGGGAUACGGCAGCGUGCAUUUACAGAGAAACGUUACAGCGGGUCCCAAAUGGCUGUGCUAAUUGCACUGGGCUGGGCCUUCACGGAGGAAG
ensembl:lncRNA